rnacentral:rRNA from 1 species
AACGAACGCUGGCGGCAGGCUUAACACAUGCAAGUCGAGCGCCCCGCAAGGGGAGCGGCAGACGGGUGAGUAACGCGUGGGAACGUACCUUUUGGUUCGGAACAACUCCGGGAAACUGGAGCUAAUACCGGAUAAGCCCUAACGGGGAAAGAUUUAUCGCCGAAAGAUCGGCCCGCGUCUGAUUAGCUAGUUGGUGAGGUAACGGCUCACCAAGGCGACGAUCAGUAGCUGGUCUGAGAGGAUGAUCAGCCACACUGGGACUGAGACACGGCCCAGACUCCUACGGGAGGCAGGAGUGGGGAAUAUUGGAAAAUGGGGGCAAGACUGAUCCAGCCAUGCCGCGUGAGUGAUGAAGGCCUUAGGGUUGUAAAGCUCUUUUGUCCGGGAAGAUAAUGACUGUACCGGAAGAAUAAGCCCCGGCUAACUUCGUG